rnacentral:lncRNA from 1 species
AGGCAGCCCCUGCCAACCAAAGACCAUUUAGCAAGACAGAGAAAGCUGCUUUCUGAAAUUAUGCCAAUAAAAGAAUAGAAAAUACAUUAUUGAUUCACAAUUUCAUUCAGAUACAGUUGCCCUUUAAGGAAUUUUUUUAAAUAUUUAUUUUUUAGUUGUAGUUGGACACAAUACCUUUAUUUUUAUUUAUUUAUUUUUUUUCUGUGGUGCUGAGGAUUGAACCCAGGGCCCUGCACAUGCUAGGCAAGCACUGUACCGCUGAGCCACAACCCCAGUCUAGGAAUUUUUAAAAAUAUAUUCAUUUUUUUAGUUGUAGAUGGACACAAUACCUUUAUUUUAUUUUUAUGCAGUGCUGAACAUCGAACACAGUGCCUCAUGUGUGCUAGGCUAGUGCUAUACCACUGGGUCACAACCCCAACCCCUAAGGAAUUUUUUGUGGGCAGGAAGACCAUCCUUUUAGUAAAUAGCUGAAAAACAUUUCAAAAAGGAAUUAAACAACAUCCAUCUUUUGUAUAGUUUUACUAUGGUUUUCUAGCAGAAUAAAAUGGUAAAUGGAUAACUAACUAUUCAGUUUGGCUUGAGGAUGCCUCUGUACUUGAGUGCUUAUGUAAGGAACUAAAUCCUAACUGGUCCAUAAGCUAACUGAAAGCCUAUCUUAGGAGUAAACUUUUGUAACAUAGCUGAAUCUGAGCCAAUGGCAGCAGCCAAGCUUCAGUCAAUCACAGAUAGAUGCUGAUCAGACCAUGUUCAAAUAAGGCAAAUGACCCGGUACUGCAAGCAAUCCAGCUGUCUCUGGACAUUAUUUCUGGUUUUUGUCCAUAAAUGGUGCCGGACCACAUUGCAGGCUGG